CAGCCGCCGCGGUAAUACGAAGGGUGCAAGCGUUAAUCGGAAUUACUGGGCGUAAAGCGUGCGCAGACGGUUGUGUAAGACAGGUGUGAAAUCCCCGGGCUUAACCUGGGAACUGCGCUUGUGACUGCACAGCUAGAGUAUGGCAGAGGGGGGUGGAAUUCCACGUGUAGCAGUGAAAUGCGUAGAGAUGUGGAGGAACACCGAUGGCGAAGGCAGCCCCCUGGGCCAAUACUGACGCUCAUGCACGAAAGCGUGGGGAGCAAACAGGAUUAGAUACCCCUGUAGUCCCUGUCUCUUAUAC
rnacentral:rRNA from 1 species